rnacentral:rRNA from 1 species
UGGGUUUGACAUAUAUUCGACAGCCUCAGAGAUGAGGUUUCCCUUCGGGGCGGAUAUACAGGUGCUGCAUGGCUGUCGUCAGCUCGUGUCGUGAGAUGUUCGGUUAAGUCCGGCAACGAGCGCAACCCACGUCAUUAGUUGCCAGCAGGUAAUGCUGGGCACUCUAAUGAGACUGCUCGUGUUAAGCGGGAGGAAGGCGUGGAUGACGUCAAGUCCGUAUGGCCCUUAUGUCCAGGGCUGCACACGUGCUACAAUGGUCGGUACAAUGGGACGCAAUACUGCGAAGUGGAGCAAAUCCCCAAAACCGGCCCCAGUUCGGAUUGUAGUCUGCAACUCGACUACAUGAAGUCGGAAUCGCUAGUAAAGGCGUAUCAGCAACGGCGCCUUGAAUACGUUCCCGGGUCU